rnacentral:lncRNA from 1 species
UAUAAAUCACAGACUUCAGCUUUUGUUUUAAAAUAUUUGUCUAAAAAGGUUUUUUUUUUCAUUAUGAGAUUUAUUAAUAUUAUGUACACAUAAAAUAUCAUCCCCACAGUAGAUAUAAGUAGAUGAUAUAUUCAUAUAUCUUUGGUGCUUCUGAAACAUUUCUUAUUAUCAAAGCUGAAAACUGUUUUGCUGCUUAAUAUUAAUAUCAGCUUUGCUAUCACAAUAAUAAUUUGCAUAAAAAUUAUUUAUUAAUUUAUUUUAUUUUUGCAUUUCAUUCACAAUACAUGAGUUGAGCAGUAUGUACCAUAUUAAUUUGUUUCUGUUUAUGCAUGUAUGUGUCUGUCUGUAUGUAUGUACUGUAUGUAUGUAUAUGUUUGUUUAUUUCAUUAUUGAAUUUGUAAAUUAUAUAUCUGUUAUUCUGUCACCAGAUAAAAGUGCAAAAAACAUGACAUUUGUAUGCUUAUUCUAAUUUAAUUUUAUAUUUAUUUGUGUGUAUAUAUUUAUUUUGAUCGACACAAACUUCCCUUCUUGUGUAAAUUUUAUGUGAUCUGUGUUUCUCCAGCGGUUCCAGGCUCUAGCACUAAAAAUGUUUUCACACGGCUGCUGAAAGUGGCUCAGCAUUACCUUUUGGAAUCGGGGAAGUACAGUGUGCCUGCCAAGAGGAGCCCUGCCCUCGUCCGCCUCCCCAAAACCAGAAUCUCCACCUCCUUCACUCAGGCACAGGGUCGAACCAGGAGGAGCAGUAGCAGGCGUUCCCAGAAUUCCACUCUGGGUGAGGUCAAGAAGGAGCAGCUCUUUUCUCAAGACUCAGACGCAGGUGCUGCUGAAGACAGCUCCAGCUCUUCAGCCUGGCGUGUGAGGUCAGGACCCGUGGGUAAAGUGGCUCGCAGAAGGAGCCGAGGUCAGUCUGGACGAGGAGGUUCCCUCCUGUUGAAGAAUCGCAGCUCUAGAUCUCAGCAAACAGCAGCUCAAACGUUUAUGCGGCCAGAGAACACCAAGAAUGAUGAAUGUCAAGAAACCCAAAGCAGGCAUGUGCCGCUGAACGAGAGAAACUUCAUCCCCUGCCCAAAGACAGCCAGUCAAGUGCGAGAAUCACAGCUCAUUUGAGCCCACGUGGGACUCGUCAUGAAACAAAGUGUGCUCACUUCAUAACUGCUCAAUGAAGCAUUGUGAUUUGACAAAGCAGGCCCUGCCUGACUCCUCCUUCACUGUCUCUGACCACAUGUUGCUGAUAUGCACUACCAACUUCACACAAGUCAGUGUUAAUGUAUGAAUGUAGGAUUUUCCAAAUCCAGUUUUUUUUCUGACUAUUCCAUAAAUAAUUUAUGGAAUGUCCAUAUUUUAAUGUAGCUUUUAUAGUCAUUUAAUAAAAGAUUAAUUCAUAAUAAACAUUCUUGUUGGCUUCUUGUCUUUUAUUUGUGAAGAUCUGUCUGUCAGUCAUUUUCCUUUUCUCUUUGUCUCUCUAUCCUUCCCCAAGAUGUUUCAAAC